AUGGCAGGGCAGCAGAGAGGCAUGGCUGAGCAGGUUGAGUUUCCGUGCCUGGGAGCCACGCGGGGAGCUGAGGAUGGGGCAGAGGAGGUGGGAGAGCCAGGCAGCACGGAGCCUUCUGAGAGGUGCUCACUGGGGAACCGUGCACAUCUCAUGCCUCUUCACACUCCCAUGGGCACAACAAGCAGAUGCUCACAGUCCCCUUCAGCUCUGUUCUGUGACAGGACUUGCCAUUGCAAUCCAUUUGUCAUAGAUUACCUUAAUUUAUGUUGUUUGAGGAAAUUUAUUUUUUCCCACCAACUAAUUUAGGAGGAGAGAUCCAUCCUGACCCCUCCCCAUUUCCUUGGAUUUAAGUUGUCAGGGUGAAUUAAAGACAGGAGGGAUAUUCCUAACCAUGCAGGCAGGGAGACUAGCUGGCUUGCCUCAGUCCAUUGCUUGCAGACUUGCUGGUCCCAGAACCUCAACACUCCACUGGUUAAAAAAACAUUUUCUACCCUGGAUCUAUUUGGGGCCGGUUUAUAUCCAUUUGUUCUUGUGCCAAGGCUGUCUUCCAGUCUGAAUAACUCUUUUUACUCCCUGGUAUUCCCCUUCCUCCAGGGAUAUUUUUAUAAAGCUAUCCUGUUGCCUCAGCUUUUGCUCAGUUAGGCUGAGCAAAGCAAUCACUCCUAACCUCCCCUGACAGCCCUGGUAGCUGUUUUUUGCACCUCUUCCCAUCUGAACACUUUUUCAUGGAUCUGACUGAUUAGAUGGAUCAUCAGCUUACUGCUUGAGCUGCCGUAGAUUGAGGAGAGGUUGAUUUAAGCUAUGUCUGCUAGAGCUGCAUGUUCACUUUGGACCCUGUUGUGCAAGUAACAGCAAGAGUGGAGUGGGAAAACUCAGCCCUACUCACUGCUGUGAGGCGGACACGUCCAUCUCUGGGACUGGGCUUGGACAGUGAAAAGGAGAAAAAAAGACAUAGUAAAGCUGACACAAGCAGAAUUUCACACAAAUGCCUUGGAGCCAUCAGAUCUUGCAAAAACAUUAUCUGAAAUCCACACCCUGAUGAGCAACACUUGAGUAAUGCACUUGAUAAGCAAACAAGAUGUCCAGGCCUGCCUCAUCCGUCUGGAAGACCCGGAGCUCUGAAAAUACAAGGCCAAGAGAGAGCUUCCCUGAGCCCACAACGGGUAGAGCAGAGGGCUGUCACAAAGAAAUAUUCAGACUUGCUGAGGAGAUGUUGUGCUCUUCGCUUGUCAACACUCAGUGCAGUUGGGCUAAGUCUCAUGUUCAGUGCCAACAUUUUUUUAAGGCUCUUUUGUACCUGCAAAAG
rnacentral:lncRNA from 1 species